rnacentral:rRNA from 1 species
GACGAACGCUGGCGGCGUGCUUAACACAUGCAAGUCGAACGGAAAGACCCUGCUUUUGUGGGGUGCUCGAGUGGCGAACGGGUGAGGAACACGUGAGUAACCUGCCCUUGACUUUGGGAUAACUUCAGGAGACUGGGGCUAAUACCGGAUAGGAGCUCCUGCUGCAUGGUGGGGGUUGGAAAGUUUCGGCGGUUGGGGAUGGACUCGCGGCUUAUCAGCUUGUUGGUGGGGUAGUGGCUUACCAAGGCUUUGACGGGUAGCCGGCCUGAGAGGGUGACCGGCCACAUUGGGACUGAGAUACGGCCCAGACUCCUACGGGAGGCAGCAGUGGGGAAUAUUGCACAAUGGGCGGAAGCCUGAUGCAGCAACGCCGCGUGCGGGAUGACGGCCUUCGGGUUGUAAACCGCUUUCGCCUGUGACGAAGCGUGAGUGACGGUAAUGGGUAAAGAAGCACCGGCUAACUACGUG